GAGCGCCCAUCGUUAAGUUUUUUGAAAUUUUCUGUAUUUUUUCUCAUUAUACUUUGUUAUCAAAGAUUUUCUUCAUACGAGUACAUCUAAGUACUCUUAUUUUAGAAAAUCUUUUCUGCCUCGUCUAAUGAGAAAAACUUUUGAAAAUUAUUCAAAAAAAAGUACUUUAGACAAGCAAGAAAUUAAUCGGAUAAUAAAGUAUUUAAGAUACGAUACAGAAGAAAAUAAAAAUGAAAUUUUAUAGAUAUUUUUUCUUUGUACGAGACGGAGAAAAUUUUCAGAAAUGAGUGUAUACAGAUGUACACGAUUUAUGGAAAAUUUUAGACAACGAAGUAGAAAGGAAUAAAUAGCAGAAAAUUUAACGAUGGGAGCGGCGGACGGGUGAGUAACGCGUAGACAACCUACCUAUAUCAAAGGGAUAGCUCCGGGAAACUGGGAUUAAUACCUUAUAAUGCAGUUUUUUCGCAUGAGGAGAUUGCCAAAGAUUUAUCGGAUAUAGAUGGGUUCGCGUAUGAUUAGUUUGUUGGUGAGGUAAUGGCUCACCAAGACUACGAUCAUUAGCCGAGUUGAGAGACUGAACGGCCACAUUGGAACUGAGACACGGUCCAAACUCCUACGGGAGGCAGCAGUGGGGAAUAUUGCACAAUGGGCGCAAGCCUGAUGCAGCAACGCCGUGUGAGCGAAGAAGGUCCUUUGGAUUGUAAAGCUCUGUCCUAAAGGAAGAAUGAUGACGGUACUUUAGGAGGAAGCCCCGGCUAACUACGUGCCAGCAGCCGCGGUAAUACGUAGGGGGCAAGCGUUAUCCGGAUUUAUUGGGCGUAAAGAGUACGUAGGUGGUCUAGAAAGUGUAUGGUGAAAGGCAGUGGCUCAACCAUUGUAAGCCUUGCAAACUUCUAGACUUGAGUACAGGAGAGGUAAGCGGAAUUCCUAGUGUAGCGGUGAAAUGCGUAGAUAUUAGGAGGAACACCAGCGGCGAAGGCGGCUUACUGGACUGUAACUGACACUGAGGUACGAAAGCGUGGGUAGCAAACAGGAUUAGAUACCCUGGUAGUCCACGCCGUAAACGAUGAGCACUAGAUGUCGGAUUUUUUCGGUAUCGCAGUUAACGCAUUAAGUGCUCCGCCUGGGGAGUACGCACGCAAGUGUAAAACUCAAAGGAAUUGACGGGGACCCGCACAAGCAGCGGAGCAUGUGGUUUAAUUCGACGCAACGCGAAGAACCUUACCAGGGCUUGACAUCCCACUGACAGGAGUUUAAUAGCUCCCUUCUUCGGACAGUGGUGACAGGUGGUGCAUGGUUGUCGUCAGCUCGUGUCGUGAGAUGUUGGGUUAAGUCCCGCAACGAGCGCAACCCUUGUCUUUAGUUGCCAUCAGUAAGGCUGGGCACUCUAGAGAUACUGCCGUAGAUAAUACGGAGGAAGGUGGGGAUGACGUCAAAUCAUCAUGCCCUUUAUGUCCUGGGCUACACACGUGCUACAAUGGCUGGUACAAAGCGACGCUAAGCCGCGAGGCAGAGCAAAUCACUAAAACCAGUCUCAGUUCGGAUUGCAGGCUGAAACUCGCCUGCAUGAAGUCGGAGUUGCUAGUAAUCCUAGAUCAGCAUGCUAGGGUGAAUGCGUUCCCGGGU
rnacentral:rRNA from 1 species